AGGUAAGCUACUAAGAGCGAAUGGUGGAUGCCUUGACUGGUAAAGGCGAUGAAGGACGUACUAGACUGCGAUAAGCUACGGGGAGCUGUCAAGAAGCUUUGAUCCGUAGAUUUCCGAAUGGGGCAACCCAAUGUAUAGAGAUAUACAUUACCUAUAUAGGAGCGAACGAGGGGAAUUGAAACAUCUUAGUACCCUCAGGAAAAGAAAUCAAUAGAGAUUGCGUCAGUAGCGGCGAGCGAAAGCGCAAGAGGGCAAACCCAGUGCUUGCACUGGGGGUUGUAGGACUGCAAUGUGCAAGAGCUGAGUUUAGCAGAACAUUCUGGAAAGUAUAGCCAUAGAGGGUGAUAGUCCCGUAUGCGAAAAACAAAGCUUAGCUAGCAGUAUCCUGAGUAGGGCGGGACACGAGGAAUCCUGUCUGAAUCCGGGUCGACCACGAUCCAACCCUAAAUACUAAUACCAGAUCGAUAGUGCACAAGUACCGUGAGGGAAAGGUGAAAAGAACUGAGGUGAUCAGAGUGAAAUAGAACCUGAAACCAUUUGCUUACAAUCAUUCAGAGCACUAUGUAGCAAUACAGUGUGAUGGACUGCCUUUUGCAUAAUGAGCCUGCGAGUUGUGGUGUCUGGCAAGGUUAAGCAAACGCGAAGCCGUAGCGAAAGCGAGUCUGAAUAGGGCGCUUAGUCAGAUGCUGCAGACCCGAAACGAAGUGAUCUAUCCAUGAGCAAGUUGAAGCUAGUGUAAGAACUAGUGGAGGACUGAACCCAUAGGCGUUGAAAAGCCCCGGGAUGACUUGUGGAUAGGGGUGAAAGGCCAAUCAAACUUCGUGAUAGCUGGUUCUCUCCGAAAUAUAUUUAGGUAUAGCGUUGUGUCGUAAUAUAAGGGGGUAGAGCACUGAAUGGGCUAGGGCAUACACCAAUGUACCAAACCCUAUCAAACUCCGAAUACCUUAUAUGUAAUCACAGCAGUCAGGCGGCGAGUGAUAAAAUCCGUCGUCAAGAGGGAAACAACCCAGACUACCAGCUAAGGUCCCUAAAUCUUACUUAAGUGGAAAACGAUGUGAAGUUACUUAAACAACCAGGAGGUUGGCUUAGAAGCAGCCAUCCUUUAAAGAAAGCGUAAUAGCUCACUGGUCUAGUGAUUUUGUGCGGAAAAUAUAACGGGGCUAAAGUAAGUACCGAAGCUGUAGACUUAGUUUACUAAGUGGUAGGAGAGCGUUCUAUUUGCGUCGAAGGUAUACCGGUAAGGAGUGCUGGAGCGAAUAGAAGUGAGCAUGCAGGCAUGAGUAGCGAUAAUUAAUGUGAGAAUCAUUAACGCCGUAAACCCAAGGUUUCCUACGCGAUGCUCGUCAUCGUAGGGUUAGUCGGGUCCUAAGUCGAGUCCGAAAGGGGUAGACGAUGGCAAAUUGGUUAAUAUUCCAAUACCAACAUUAGUGUGCGAUGGAAGGACGCUUAGGGCUAAGGGGGCUAGCGGAUGGAAGUGCUAGUCUAAGGUCGUAGGAGGUUAUACAGGAAAAUCCGUAUAACAAUACUCCGAGAACUGAAAGGCUUUUUGAAGUCUUCGGAUGGAUAGAAGAACCCCUGAUGCCGUCGAGCCAAGAAAAGUUUCUAAGUUUAGCUAAU
rnacentral:rRNA from 1 species